UGGCGGCGUGCCUAAGACGUGCAAGUCGUGCGAUUCUCUGGGGCUUGCUCCAGAGGAUAGCGGCGGACGGGUGAGUAACGCGUAGGCAACCUGCCCACAGGACCGGGACAACAGGACGAAAGCCCUGCUAAUACCGGAUAGGCACCAGGCCCCGCAUGGAGCUCGGUGGAAAGGGGUAACCCACCUGUGGAUGGGCCUGCGUCCCAUUAGCUUGUUGGUGAGGUAACGGCCCACCAAGGCUUCGAUGGGUAGCCGACCUGAGAGGGUGACCGGCCACACUGGGACUGAGACACGGCCCAGACUCCUACGGGAGGCAGCAGUCGGGAAUUUUCCACAAUGGGCGAAAGCCUGAUGGAGCAACGCCGCGUGAGUGAGGAGGGUCUUCGGAUUGUAAAACUCUGUCCCGAGGGAAGAACACAAUGACGGUACCUCGGGAGGAAGCCCCGGCUAACUACGUGCCAGCAGCCGCGGUAAUACGUAGGGGGCAAGCGUUGUCCGGAGUUACUGGGCGUAAAGGGCGUGUAGGCGGUUCGCUAAGUCGGGUGUGAAAGUGCAGGGCUUAACCUUGCAAGUGCAUCCGAAACUGGCGGGCUAGAGGGAAGUAGAGGAAAGCGGAAUUCCCGG
rnacentral:rRNA from 1 species